GCCCUCGUAGCUCAGCAGGUAGAGCACGUGACUGUUAUUCACGGGGUCAAGAGUUCGAGUCUCUUCGAGGGCG
rnacentral:tRNA from 1 species